AGGCGAUAGGAAUAGAUGAUUCGUUAUUACUUGAUGCGUACAAAACAUUAUAAAAAAAUACAUUUAGUUUUUUUUAUUAUUUAACAGUCUACAGUCACCAUCGUCACACCGUGAGCCAAACUUACUUCUGCAAGGGAAAAAAACACUAAUUUUAUGAUUCCUUUCCGUGACCACACCUCCCCAAAUCCUUAUUCCCAACGGUGACUGCCGCACCCCGAAAAAAGAAACACAACCGAUUGGCGCAAACUGACCAUCGGGUGGCACUCUUGUUUUGCUGGUGUACGUUGACCUGCAGUCAAACUUUGCCAAACCAACAUAAACUAAGCGACUAAGGAAAGGUGUCGUCUGUAAGGGACGCGAGGCGCAAACUCUUCCCUCACUACUAGCGCUUGAUUAAACAUUCAUCACACUGCAAGUGAAACAUGCGACCACUAGAUGGAAACCGACCACUAGAUGGCUGCCGCUUUCUACGUCAAGAAAGACAAAUAUUUGUCCAUAGUAGGCUGAGAUGGUUGCCGUCUGCCGACCGUUUCUAAGUUAGGUAAAGUGUUGAUGCCGCUGCGUGUGUAUAAAAAUGGACGACACAACGGAAAAUGACAUGAUUUUCGGUGGGCCACCGUAUGCUUCUGUAUGCGGGGAGGAAAAUUCAAGCCCACCAACUCCAUUAACGAAACCGUAACGGUUCGGGGUUCCCUCUUUGAGCCUUAAAGUGUGUCUUGCAAGACACAAAUAGCAACACGGGUGAGCGUGCUCUAAUCGAGGUGGGAUAAUGUAAUAAUAUUUUUUGUUACAUCCGACUUUUGCACCGUGCUUUUCAGAGCAGCAGCGCGCUUUAAAAUAGCGCAUUUUGGGGCGGGGGUUUUCCCUUUCGGAACACAAUCUUCCCACUGGCCUCAUGGCUGAGCUGAAAGCUACCCCUCCCUCGUUACGGGGGCAUUUUAUGUGGGAAGAAGCAACGCAACCUUCGGCAUUGGCUCUUUGUUGAAGGCUCUUUGUUGAUAAUACCGGGACGACGACAUCGGCAUUCUGCGAAGGCGAAAAUCGCAUCAACCGACCAUCACCAGUCUAAAGGGCACACGGUGUUAUCCAAUGGGCAUCUCCUCUUUUUGUCAUUUGAUGUUUAGUCUUCAUCGCAGAGCGGAGCGCAGAGCGGAUGGAUUAUGGAUGGAGGAAGAUGGAGCCGUUAUUUGAGGCCUGUCCCGCCCUUCUCCCGUUUACUUAAUGUCCCGCGCGCGUUUGGACACACAAAUUUGGAGGAGGUGACAUCCCAUCACGGGGGCAGCGUAGAUUGGGAUCAAAAUAUGGUGUUUCACCUUCUGUUUUCACAGUGACCGCGCGAGUCACACAGCGUAUUCUUGUCUCAACGUUCGUUAUCGCGUCGUUUUGACGGGAGAGCAUAGACGCAAACUAGACGAUGGGCUAUUACGAUAAGAUAGAGUUUUGGGAACGAUUUAUCGUUUUGUAACGUUCGUGUACAAAACAUAGUUUGAUUUUGCGAUUGAAUGCCAUUUUGACUGUAGAAACUGAAAGACCUUUCAAAAGGCUCCGCCAUGCAGACGACUUCAAAACAGCUCCGGUCAACAAAACAGAGAAAGCAAAUAAAUAUUGAACUGCAAACACAAACACUCACACACACACAACAUUCGUCGUACAGAAUCGGAAGCAAGCGAAAUGUGUUUACAUUGUGUAAAAAUAGCAGCAAAACACGGUGGCACCAAAACACCCUCCCAUAACCGCCACGCCACAGAAGAAAUCGAUCAACCGGAAACCGUCCGCAUCGGACGAUGAAAUGUUCCAGAGCAAAGGGGAGAGCAAAGGGGAGCAGUCCUCGAAUAGGUUAAGCAAGGGAGCAACAGCAGUCAAUGGUUGGAAAAUGCACUUUUUCUGGCCAACAGAUGUGGCCCAGCGCUCACAAUCUGCAUCAACACCAGCUUCUUGUCCGCCGCUUGCGAAAGAUGAAAGAUUCCGAUUAAGUAAUCCCGAUACAUCACCGACACCGUACACACUAGUAAGUUGGGUUUUCUAUAUUUUUAGCAUCUCCGGAGCGAGUUCUGGAUAGAGGUUUUAAAAACAUUCACCAACUCCACUCGCCUAAAAACAGUGAGUUGUGAAUAGAGGAAGUGAAAAAUGUUAAUGAAUAUUUUAUCGCUGAAUAAAUUGCUGCAAUACACUCACACACAAACACUACAUAUUUUGAUAAUAGCAGCAUUUAUCAGUAGAGCUUGUGUACAGUUUCUUUCCUUUUUUACUUCUCUCUAUGUUACAUGCAAUCUCUCCUCAAUGGAAAUGUGGAAAAAUAUCCAUUUAUUUUCCCGCUGCAUGUGUGUGGUGGUACCGAUAUGUAUAAAGGCAAAGGUGCACGCGAUCAUCACAAAACACUCUCCUCCCCUUCUCUUCUCCACCACCAAACCAAACCCCCAUUGCUCCUAGGCUCUACGUGGUGUCCGCUUCUAACGGGGUGUUUUUUGGAAAGUUCAGGCGUUUUUCACUUCCCCAAAAUGGAAAACACACACACACACUGUGUGUCGUGUAGAACCGUAUUAACGGUCACGUACGGUGCUUAAUCCUGGAACGAUGGACUAAACAAGGGCCACAACAAGAAAGAAAAACAGGAAAACAAUUUACAACACGUUGGGACUGUUGGGACAUGUUGGGGCUGCAUUGCAUGUACUUUCUUUAACCACCGUUUAUUGGCAAACGGACGAACCUCCAAGGGUUUGUUUUGCUCUCCCAAAUCGACAGCCUUUUUAUUUAAUAUUUAAGGUUUUCUAUUAAGGACAACUUUGUUUCUUUUUUUUUGCUGUCCAACACAUAGAGAAUGUGUCUUUUUUUUUUUUGAUAGAGUCACACGCUUAUCCUUCACUUAAUUUGUUCCCUUCAAAGGUGUGUCCAAAGGGUUAUCGAAUAAAAAGGACACUUUUCCUUUUCCGGUUAUAAAGCGUACAACCAACCAACCAACACCAAACCGAAUUUACUCUCUCCCCACUGGCGGGGCUAAGGAUAAACAUCAAUUUCAAACCCUUUCCACACGCCACACGUGCAAAUGCGUUCCCAAAGCGUUCGAUAUUUGCGCGGCAACUUAAAUAAAUUUACAGGUUUCCAUCACUGCGCCUUCGAGAAACCUUUCGAGCCUUGUUUUUUUUUUAUUUUGAAACCCAAAAGAAGAAAUUGUGGUGUAAAAUAUUAUACGCUUUCGGUGGAAACCAUUUCAAAUACGGCUACGGGGUGUUAUUUUCCCCAUCCCGACCCCUUUUUAACGUCUUUAUGCGUGGGUCGUUAGAGCGAAUUCAUAUUUAUGUCUCCAUAAAUCUGACAUUCAAAUGCAUCUUCCUUUUUGUUGUUCCUCCCCUUUAAACGAAAAACAGGUUCUUUAAGAUGCUUUUUAAUAAAGAGAUAUCUUUGCAGGGCUGAUUAGCAUAUCUUUUUAGAGAAGAAGUUGCAAAAAACUAGGUACAAUCUUUCCAAAAAGACAUUGGAGUGGAGCAAAGUGCCUUAUGCUUUCCCGGAAAAGGACCACUUGAAAUGCCCAUGGUAGUAAAAUGGAAGGAGAGAGCAACAAAAAAGACACAAAACUAAGCUGAACGAAAGCAAAACAACACAACAGUCGGAAUGUGUACUAAUAUGUACUAAAAAGAGGCUCCUUGAAGGACACAAAAUCGAGCGAAAGAAAAACUUCUACUCUCCCGGAAAACAUUAUGUAAGGGAAAAGGUUGAUAGUACAGGGUCCCACUAAAAUAGUGUGACCUGAAUACGCCACUCUGCACGCGAAGUAAUCAGCAGCACGUAAUUAGAGGUGAGGGAAAUUGCCCACAGCAACAGCAACGGAGCAGAAUCAAAGUUGGGGGCAAUUUUCUGUGUUUUAAAGUCGCUUUCAUCAUGCAGAUUUGUGAUUUAUAAGUCCAGUAAGAAUAAGUACCAUCAAACGAUGUGUAAUUUCUAGGCCCUCGUUUCGUUGCGUUUGUGAAGGGUUUUCUCUACACUACAGGUCGUAUCUAAAGAAUUCAAUACCCUGAAACGAUCCUCGCAGUUACUGAUAACGAUACAUGGAUGAUGUUAUCAUUAGUACCUUUAUCAAAAGCAAACUUUCUUUACGUUUCAGAGCUGCUAGACCAUCCAGUGUGUGGUGAAAUUGAAUCGAAAUUUUCGGUUUUCUAAUUAUACGAAUUUAACCGGAACUAUCACGAUGUUUCGUAACACACCAUCCUGAUAAUCACUGGCAAUUUAAAAGCGUUUAUUUACAAACUAAAACGCAUUUUUUUUUUAAACCAACCCACAAUCUUACCCAAAUUAUAACCGUUUGAUGUAUUUAGGGCAAUAAAAACGAUGGGAACCCACUAACUGGGACACUAACCGAAGCAUGAAAGUUGGACCCGUUGGCGUGCACAAACUGCAUGCGACCAACCACUCUCCUCCAAAAAAAAAACACUUCAUUGACAGUCAUCGAUUUGUGUACCAGCAUUUGACACCACAGAGAGCUCUUCCAUCGAACCUUCGUGCGGUGUUGUCACCGCAAUAGCACCUACACACACAUGUCAAACUAUUUUCCGAACCAGUUAUGACUUGGUGGCUAAUGAAGCCGUAGAGUACCGAUGAAUAGAGCCACGGGUGCGCGUGUGUGAACUACCUCUGACGUGCGGGCUGGAGCCGCGAUGGAUUCAAGGACGGUAAAACAAAUGACGACUUUUCACCUUUAUUUAUUAGCGGGACGCUUUAAGGCGAGGAAGCAAACGGUCUCCGAACGAACUCAAAUCGUUCUGGGACUGGGAACUUGCAUUUAAAGUGCUUUAUAUGUGGAUUAUAUCAACUAUUUGGGUUCUUUUCCCCCCUAUAAUUAAAAGAUAUCAAUGCGACUUUCCAACCAGCACUUAAAAACGUGUCAGAUUGCACAACAACACAGCAGCAGCUCAUGACUUCGCCAAAUCGCAGCAAGCGAAAGUUGCAUACCAAAAAACAGUGCGCAAGAUAAGCCGCCUCUUUCCGUCCGUCCGAAAGCAAUGGGCGUGAAAAUGAAAGAUGACCAGCAAUGAUGAGCAACACAGCUCAUUCAUCGAGCGGGGGAAAAUACACGCACCUUUUCACACCGCCCGGCAAACAAUGCGAGGGUUGGUGAGGUACCUCUCGCUCUAAUUUCUCUAGUCUAGUCUAGUUGCCUCGCUUCCUCCUAUAGCGAUUCUGUCGAGCUGAGCUUUCACGUCCCUCACCACCGAUCUCCUUCCUACCCCUCGCCUAAGAUCGUCUGCCGUCUCGCCUGACACCUUUCGUUGUGUUGGUGCUAUGCGGCUGCUGUCACUGUAGAAGUCAGGUUGUGUGUGUGUAAAAAAACGUAAACAGUGUUGUUGGCUGAUCAAUUUUGGUAAGUUUUUUAAUAAUUAAGUUCUUAAUUUUACGUAAGUAAGUGCCAUUUUAGCUAAAUUAAGUGGUAGAAGUCCUGCCCAAUGCGUGCUGGCUCCGUCGGAAGCGGUACGUGCAUGUACCGGCGUAGGAAAGUGGUGUGGUGAACAACACAGCACAAGGCAACGGAUAAAAUGCAGAAACGAUAUGGGCCUGCCGCGGGUGUUUGCCACUGUACGUUGCGUUGUGUAUGAUUCGGUAUGUUCGCCAAUUUUCCUCUAUCCUGGAACGUGGGCUUACGAGGAACCAUUUAAGAACAUCCUCCGGAAGCUGUACGGCGACGAGUCGGGCUCUACCAGCACAACACGCUAGAGGCCCAGCCGGCACCGGGUGCCCCGAUUGCGCCGUGAGACGGUGUCGAGUGCGCUCGUUAACAACGUUCGGGGCAGGAAUGCAACCCUUCGGAUCAUUAUCCUCUGCCUCACAAUAGCUGCAGCAGCAAAAGGACCGAAACGACCGCACUACUGAUUGCGGUUAAAUUUCCUGGCAGGAGAAAAAAUCCCACAAGUUUAUCGAUUUCAUCGACGGCCGCUCGCUGGCAGGAUCAACAUGCCACCGAAUAACCCCGGAAAGGCGACAAACACUCAUCUCCAGCGGCAAAUUGUUAACAUCAAUCCUCUUCCGCACAUCUACACGACAUCAUGAUAAUAGUGUUAUUGUGUAAAUUGUAAAAAAAAAUACGUUAAUGAGUUAAGAUUAAUCUUAAGUGCGCUUUAAGGCAUACAUCGAUAUGCCUAAUUUUAGGUUAAGUGUUAUGAAAUGCGCGUGUGUGUGAAGGGGCGGAAUAAGCGCUAAUUUUGCCCCGUGGUCUUGAGGGGCCCCAAAAAAGGAACCCACCCCCCACUCGCAAGUAAAAUUGCUACCCAAUCCUUCUCUAGUUUAGAGCAUUUCCCUGCUAGACGCUUAAACCAAACUUACAUUUAGUCGACUGCUUAGGGCAUCCACCCGUAUGUGCGGGUUUUACACUACAUUUUAGAUAAAUAAAUCUAGUUUAUAUUCUCAUAAAA